AGAGUUUGAUCCUGGCUCAGGAUGAACGCUGGCGGCGUGCUUAACACAUGCAAGUCGAACGGGGUACCCUUGACAGAGGCUUCGGCCAAUUGAUAGGAAUACCUAGUGGCGGACGGGUGAGUAACGCGUGAGGAACCUGCCUUGGAGUGGGGAAUAACAGUUAGAAAUAGCUGCUAAUACCGCAUAAUGCAACUAAGUCGCAUGGCUUUGGUUGCCAAAGAUUUAUCGCUCUAAGAUGGCCUCGCGUCUGAUUAGAUAGUUGGCGGGGUAACGGCCCACCAAGUCGACGAUCAGUAGCCGGACUGAGAGGUUGGCCGGCCACAUUGGGACUGAGACACGGCCCAGACUCCUACGGGAGGCAGCAGUGGGGAAUAUUGGGCAAUGGGCGCAAGCCUGACCCAGCAACGCCGCGUGAAGGAAGAAGGCCCUCGGGUUGUAAACUUCUUUUAUUCGGGACGAAACAAAUGACGGUACCGAAUGAAUAAGCCACGGCUAACUACGUG
rnacentral:rRNA from 1 species